ACCGGUUAUUGGAGUGAACUUAAUUUGAAACCAAAACUGGAUAAAUGGAACGCCGUAAAUAAAAAGUUUAAAAAAUGAAUUUUGGAACUUCGCAGUUGACACGCAUGCAUAUUGCACCCAUUUUAUUAUUGACCGGCCAAAAAAUGUUUCAUUGCGGACCGGUUGCCAUUUUAUUUUAUGCUUUUGUAAUCUAGAACAACAGUAACUAGGCAUGUGUGUUAUAUAAAGUUGUGAAUUGGGUAUAAACAAACGUUAUCCAAAUUUGUCUAAUCCGGCGAGACUUGGGUCAGUACACGCAUUUUUAUAAAAAUAGCAACCCUUCGGCUAAACAGGAUUCUGAUUAUCAUAUUGAGCGAGAUCAAAAUCAGGCGAGUUUCUGCAAAGUGCAUUAAACCAUAUUACCUGUAGCACUAUUUCAUGACCUAAACAUCACACAGAGAUACUUAUGUAAGUUUUCUACUCACAUUGGUCGUUCAGACAUGCACCUCCCGCCGUGGGAGCGGCAGAUCAAAGUCAUAAUCAGGAGAUUAUGGUAUUGUGUCAAUGUUUUUGACGAAGUUCUUAUUAUAUUACCAAUAUAUAUUUAAUAACAUUAGAAGAUAUAUCAGGGUCGUAGACACCACCAGAAUCGUUGUAACUGUACUAUUGUGUGUGUAAGUGUAAUUAGUGCAAGUGGAAGUCAAGUGUAAAUGUAAAGCAAUUCGAAUUCGGGAAUGUUCUGUACACGAUCGCUUGUAUAUAUUGUAAUUAUAUUUUCACAAAAUUGUAUAUAACAGCUUAUUGUAACUCUUAAAUUAUUAGUGUCGCUGAUCAGCGAACACGCGAAUGUAAACAAACAG